GACGAACGCUGGCGGCGUGCUUAACACAUGCAAGUCGAACGGAAAGGCCCUGCUUUUGUGGGGUGCUCGAGUGGCGAACGGGUGAGUAACACGUGAGUAACCUGCCCUUGACUUUGGGAUAACUUCAGGAAACUGGGGCUAAUACCGGAUAGGAGCUCCUGCUGCAUGGUGGGGGUUGGAAAGUUUCGGCGGUUGGGGAUGGACUCGCGGCUUAUCAGCUUGUUGGUGGGGUAGUGGCUUACCAAGGCUUUGACGGGUAGCCGGCCUGAGAGGGUGACCGGCCACAUGGGGACUGAGAUACGGCCCAGACUCCUACGGGAGGCGGCAGUGGGGAAUAUUGCACAAUGGGCGGAAGCCUGAUGCAGCAACGCCGCGUGCGGGAUGACGGCCUUCGGGUUGUAAACCGCUUUCGCCUGUGACGAAGCGUGAGUGACGGUAAGGGGUAAAGAAGCACCGGCUAACUACG
rnacentral:rRNA from 1 species